rnacentral:misc_RNA from 1 species
GAUGAAGAACGUAGCGAAAUGCGAUAAGUAAUGCGAAUUGCAGAAUUCCAGUGAGUCAUCGAAUCUUUGAACGCACAUUGCGCCCUUUGGUAUUCCGAAGGGCAUGCCUGUUCGAGCGUCAUUAUCACCCCUCAAGCCCUCAGCUUGGUGUUGGACGGUUUGGUGGAGGCCCCCUCGGGGGCUCCUGCCCCUCCCAAAGACAAUGACGGCGGCCUCGUUGGACCCCCGGUACACUGAGUUCUUCACGGGACACGUAUCGGACACAUGGGUUUACGGGACACGGUCUGCCUCCCCUCAGGGAGAAUCUUUCUAAGGUUGACCUCGGAUCAGGUAGGGAUACCCGCUGAACUUAAGCAUAUCAAUAAGCGGAGGA